GGCUUUUAGAGGAUAAUUUAAAGUUUGGCCUGCCCACUGAAAAUUAAAGGGCCGCGGUAUUUUGACCGUGCAAAGGUAGCAUAAUCAUUAGUUUCUUAAUUAGAAGCUGGAAUGAAUGGUUGGAUGAGAAAAUUACUGUUUCAAUUUUAUUAAUUAUGAAUUUUAUUUUUAAGUUAAAAAGCUUAAAUUUAAUUAAAAGACGAGAAGACCCUAUAGAUUUUUAUAAUAUUAUUAUUUAAAAUUUUUGGAAUAGAUAUUUUUAAUUAAGAAUUUUAUUUGAUUGGGGUGAUUGAAAAAUUUAAAUAACUUUUUAUAAAGUGAACAAUUUUAAUUGAUAUUUUGAUCCAUUAUUUAUGAUUAAAAGAUUAAAUUACCUUAGGGAUAACAGCGUAAUUUUUUAUGAGAGUUCUAAUCGAAUAAAAAGUUUGCGACCUCGAUGUUGGAUUAAAAU
rnacentral:rRNA from 1 species